rnacentral:rRNA from 1 species
GGGUGCGAUCAUAUCAGCACUAAUGCACAGGAUCCCAUCAGAACUCCGCAGUUAAGCGUGGUUGGGCGAGAGUAGUACUAGGAUAGGUGACCUCCUGAGAUGUUCUCGUGUUGCACCCC